UUAAUGAAGGUUUAUAGAAAACAAGGAUUGUUAAUAAAAUGUUUAAAUGCAGUUAUAACAUAAUUUACGGUGACCAUGCAUGGGUCAGUAAAUGGAGAGUAACAGGAAUAAAUAUAUUUUAUAUGGUAUGACUUUGUCAGUAAAUUGAUCAAUAAGGGAUGAUAUGUCCAUAGAAAUUAAUUCUUUUUAUGUAAGCCAAUACAUUUGUAUAAUAACUGCUUUAUAAAUUAUUUCAUGCAUUCAAAAAUACUUGUGAUUUAUGCACUAUUCUAAACUUCAUUACAUCAUAAGAUGUUUCAUGACAUGUCAGUCACUAUGUGAUUUUACAUGUACUCAAGAUCUGUCUAUUCUACUGUCAUAUACAUGUAUUUAUAUAUUGAUAUGAAAACUUGGGAAGAAAGAGACAAUUGUAUACCAUCAUUCAUGUGCAAUAUUCCAUUAGAAAUGGUUCUAUUAUGAAGAGUAUAAACUAUCAAUUCAGUUCUUUAAAUCAAACAAAACAAAAUUAUUAAGUCUUUUUACAUUUCAGACAGCAUAACAUCUGACCAGAUAUAUACUGCAGUACCUGUCUCACCAGUUCCAGCACUGAAUGCUACUCCCACAUGCCAGACUGUUGAAGAUUUACCAUCUUCUGUGGAAGAUAUCUGGAUAAGGAGACUUGAGCAGAUUCACCAGAGAAAUGAAGAGUUAACACAUCCUAGUGCGACUGUUCCUGCCAGCCUACCAGUACCUGCACAAAUACAGACUUGCACUCAGCAACCACCAAAACCCAGUGAGAGUAAGCAGAAGAAGAAAGCUAAGAGAACUGUAGAUGAUGUGUAUGAGUUGCAGCUCUUCCAUCUUGAUGACCAUUGAAAUGUUCCCCAAGAUCACCAUCAUUGCCUACAAUUACUCC